AACGAACGCUGGCGGCAUGCCUAACACAUGCAAGUCGAACGAGACCUUCGGGUCUAGUGGCGCACAGGUGCGUAACGCGUGGGAACCUGCCCUUAGGUUCGGAAUAACUCCCCGAAAGGGGUGCUAAUACCGGAUAAUGUCUUCGGACCAAAGAUUUAUCGCCUUUGGAUGGGCCCGCGUUGGAUUAGCUAGUUGGUAGGGUAAAAGCCUACCAAGGCGACGAUCCAUAGCUGGUCUGAGAGGAUGAUCAGCCACACUGGGACUGAGACACGGCCCAGACUCCUACGGGAGGCAGCAGUGGGGAAUAUUGGAAAAUGGGCGAAAGCCUGAUCCAGCAAUGCCGCGUGAGUGAUGAAGGCCUUAGGGUUGUAAAGCUCUUUUACCCGGGAUGAUAAUGACAGUACCGGGAGAAUAAGCUCCGGCUAACUCCGUG
rnacentral:rRNA from 1 species